UACGGAGGAUGCAAGCGUUAUCCGGAUUCAUUGGGUUUAAAGGGUGCGUAGGCGGCGCGGUAAGUCGGGUGUGAAAUCUUGGAGCUUAACUCCGAAACUGCAUUCGAUACUGCCGUGCUUGAGGACUGGAGAGGAGACUGGAAUUUACGGUGUAGCGGUGAAAUGCGUAGAUAUCGUAAGGAAGACCAGUGGCGAAGGCGGGUCUCUGGACAGUUCCUGACGCUGAGGCACGAAGGUCAGGGGAGCAAACGGG
rnacentral:rRNA from 1 species